GGUUGUAUUAUUUCUAAGAUUAUUAAAGGUUCUGUAUGGUUAGUAGUACCAUUGAGUUGCUAAAAGGGAACAAGGCUAGUUAUAUAGUAUAUGGUGUUCUUAAUAGCUAAGUCAAGGAGUUAAGGAUGGAUGAUGUUGAGUGUUUUGGUCUGAUUUUGAUACUUAUGGUUUAGGGAAAAAUAUAAGUUUAGAAUUGUGGUACAAAUUAUGUGUUUAUUGAGGAAGGUAUGUUUGCGGGG
rnacentral:lncRNA from 1 species